ACCAGCCUGUGGCCAACAUGGCAAAACACCAUCUCUACUAAAAAUACAAAAAUUAGCCGGGCCUGUUGGCGCAUGCCUGUAGUCCCAGCUACUCAACUUGGGAGGCUGAGGCCAGGAAAAUCACUUGAACCUGGGAGGCGGAGGUUGCAGUGAGCUGAGAUUGCACCAUUGCACUCCAGCCUGGGCGACAGACUGAGACUCUGUCUCAAAAAAAAAAAAAAAAGAAGAAGAAGAAGAAGAAGAAUCCAUUUCCAUCAGCCCCCUUUCUGGAUGCCUAAUGGGCCUGUGGAAAGAAGGCUCUCUCAGCAGCUCCUUCGGAAGAAGGCCUGG
rnacentral:lncRNA from 1 species